UAGGAACAAAUUCUUUAGACAAAAACGGUUAAUUAAGAAGUAAAGUAGAAUCAAAUUGAAUACUUCUAUAAUACAUGGUGAACGUAGAAAGGCACGAAGAGGGUGUCAUCCUUCAGCCUCAGUUUGCAGUUGCUUCUGCUGCUGAAUCCUCCGAGGAUAAUCUCACUACCACUUGCUGAUAUAGAAUUCACCUGUAUCGCACGCUGAAGAAGAGACCUAUACUCUUGACUUCUAGACCAUUCAUCAAUCUCGCAUGCACGUAAAACAGGGAGUGGAUGUGAAAGUUGCCUUGUUUGUGCAUUUCUAAAGAGAAAGCAUGUUGAAGUUAAAAGAGUUGAAGAAGACAAGAAAUAACAAAUCUUCAAGUCACACUAUCUGAAGAUGUAAUGCAGCUAUAUUCUAUUCCUAUUUGCAUAUACAUUAAACUUAAUUUAUGUCAGUAAUGGGAUGCACGUAUCC